rfam:Gloeophyllum trabeum ATCC 11539 unplaced genomic scaffold GLOTRscaffold_00005, whole genome shotgun sequence.
UGCCCCAUGGCUGAGUUGGUUACAGCGUCCGACUGUUAUGUAAUGUUGCAUUACGUUAUUUCUCAAUCGGAAGGUCGUGAGUUCGAGCCUCACUGGGGCAG